rnacentral:tRNA from 1 species
AAGCCCAGGAGGUGAGAACGCCAAAAUGCAAAUUUGGAGACCCACCCCAACAGGUGCCGGGGCUUC